UUUUAAUAUGUAUUACCCAAGUAGCUAAUGUGUUUUGUCGUUGUUAUUAAUAAAAGAAACAUUUGACUAAUGAAUGCUUAUAAUCCAAGGCAGUUUGAUUAACAUAAGAUUUUGACACAAAAGUUUCUGGUAAAUAGAUUAACGUCAAAAUUCAUUUUUCAUUGCGGGGAUGUGGUUGGCAUUUUAAUUAGAGCUCUUGAAAGAUUUUAAUCAUGACCAACUUACCGAUAAGCCACUAAUUAACGGGGCCUAAAUGCACCGAUAUAUAUUUUGCAUUUAUUAUAUUUACAAAAAACAUAUACAAAACACAAAUA